rnacentral:misc_RNA from 1 species
GUUUGUUAUCAUCGUAUUAGUGAAAUUUACCCAUUGAAAUACAUUUUCAACAAGUUAUUAUUGGUGUACUAACGAUGACUUAUUGUGAGUCUCUUAUAUUUUUUUAUGGGAGUUUGUAUUUUCCCAUCUUCUCUAAAGAAAAGUUUCUUAUUCUCCCAAAAUCUCUAUUGAUGCUUGACCUUGAAUGGUGAAUCCUAUAUCUGAAGUUGCUGGUGCACUAAAACUGUGACUUUUGGCAUCAGUCAAAACUUUUUGUUAGUGUUCCCUUCCCCCCGUGGGAACUUGUAUGCUGCUUUGCUUGUUUUAAAUUCUUCAAAACAGAUCCAGAUGUGGUUUUGAGAUGUUCUAGCUCAGAGCUAAGGCUUAAAAAUUUGGUUUUGCCUAGGAGCUGGAGGGCCUGACCAGCAAAUUCUUCUGAGAGCUGGGGCUUAAAGUCAGCUCAUUAGGUUGGCAAAAGAGUCCAGGCCAAGUUGAACCUCUUAAAUAGCUUAAAUUGCACAGUAAACUAGUAUAGUAUGCUGUGCUACCCGCUUGGAGGUUUGCCAUGAUGACCUUAGAAACUGAAGUUUCACAAAUAAUUCAUAGUAUCUUGAGUGUUCUUGUAAAAGAUGUUUCUAAUUAUUAUGCAAUGAUUUUUGAGUUUUGCCUAAUGGUGUGAGGCAGCAGUCGUGUACAACCUGCCUUCAUUUGUGUACAAGCUCUCUGUAGGUCUGUCCGUCUAAGUCUUUGAUGGUUUUGAAUUAUUUUGAACAAAAAGUUAUGCUGUUGAAAGGUUUUUAGUUUGGUCUGAAGAAUUCAAAUUGACCAAAAGAUGUUAGACUGCAAAUACGAACUUGCAAAAAUAGCUUGAAAAUGCCUACUCAAUGACCUUGGAAUGUGUAAAUUUAUUUAUUUUAAAUGUGGCCAACAUGGUUAGUGAGAUGUGGUAAAUGUAGCUGUGAUUAAUUAUUUGCCACUGGUCUGUUCUUAAUUCACUCGUAGUUUGUUAUUUAUGCUCUGUAAUAUUCACAUGUUGGCAUUCUUUUUGACUUAUCUGUUGAAUCUCUUAUUCUAACUUGAGCAAUGUUGAAUCGUAUGUAUGCCCCCACCCCCUCCCCCUCAUCCCUUUUUGUCUGAUAUUCAGUUGUUACAAUUGUAUCAGGCAUCAUAUCUAUGAAA